rnacentral:rRNA from 1 species
AUUGAACGCUGGCGGCAUGCUUUACACAUGCAAGUCGAACGGUAACAGGCCUUCGGGUGCUGACGAGUGGCGAACGGGUGAGUAAUGCAUCGGAACGUGCCCAGAGGUGGGGGAUAACGCAGCGAAAGCUGUGCUAAUACCGCAUGUGAUCUGAGGAUGAAAGCGGGGGACCAGGCAGCAAUGUUUGGCCUCGCGCCUUUGGAGCGGCCGAUGUCAGAUUAGGUAGUUGGUGGGGUAAAGGCCUACCAAGCCGACGAUCUGUAGCUGGUCUGAGAGGACGACCAGCCACACUGGGACUGAGACACGGCCCAGACUCCUACGGGAGGCAGCAGUGGGGAAUUUUGGACAAUGGGCGCAAGCCUGAUCCAGCAAUGCCGCGUGCGGGAAGAAGGCCUUCGGGUUGUAAACCGCUUUUGUACGGAACGAAAAGGCUCUGGCUAAUACCUGGGGCUGAUGACGGUACCGUAGGAAUAAGCACCGGCUAACUACGUG